UACGAAGGGGGCUAGCGUUGCUCGGAAUUACUGGGCGUAAAGGGCGCGUAGGCGGCACAACUAGUCAGGCGUGAAAUUCCUGGGCUUAACCUGGGGACUGCGCUUGAUACGGUUGAGCUAGAGGACGGAAGAGGGUCGUGGAAUUCCCAGUGUAGAGGUGAAAUUCGUAGAUAUUGGGAAGAACACCGGUGGCGAAGGGACGGCGACCUGGUCCGUUACUGACGCUGAGGCGCGACAGCGUGGGGAGCAACAGG
rnacentral:rRNA from 1 species